rnacentral:tmRNA from 1 species
GGGGGCGUUCAGGAUUCGACAGGUAUAGUUUGAACUGAGAUUGCGCUUCGUAGGUGACGUCUACGUUAAAACGUUACAGUUAAAUAUAACUGCUAAAAAUAAUAACAAUUCUUACGCUUUAGCUGCCUAAACAGUAGCUGCGUAGAUCCGCCUAGCAUCGCCCAUGUGUUAGAUCCGGGUCUUAAAUGAAGUGGGCUACGUCAAUGACUCCCACCUGAAGUGAUUGAAAGAGAUGAUCAGGUUAGCUUAAUGCUGGUUGCCAUGUGAUCCGGCGUUUGUGUUAAGCGAAUUUUGAAAUAGGAUGACUAUGAGCGUAGAGAUUUCAGUGGCGAUAUGCUUGGACGCGGGUUCGACUCCCGCCGCUUCCAUAU